GCCGUGGUCGCAUAACCCGGUAUUGCGCUGGUCUUGAAAACCAGUGUCCGAAAGGACUUCCCAGUUCAAAUCUGGGCCACGGCG
rnacentral:tRNA from 1 species